GAGGAUAUGGCGCUUGUCCUUAAGUCUAGUUGUCGGUGUAGGCAAGAAUCAUACAAUUAUAAUUCAGUAUAUAAACUAUUACCACCAAGGUAAGAACAAAGCACUAAUGAAGGACAUCCAACCCAGUUUGGAGGUGGUUGGGGGCCAGGUCUUCACAAAGAAAGAGGCACUUAAGCUCACAUCAAAAAGGACGAGUGGGAAUUAGCUCAGUGAAAAAUAAAACAGGGACAGAGUGCUACAGGCAAAGAGAAUAAGCAGACAAAAGCUGGCAGGUGAGAAAGUGGGUCAGCAUUAUUGGAUCUCUGAGAGCUGCAGGCCAGGCCCAGGUCACGCAGUCUUGUGUUUCAGAUUAAGGAAUUUUGAUGUUGUUAUAAAGACAAUCAUGAGCUAGGAUAUUGUUCCUCAGGGUGGUGAUUCUCAGUGAGCUCUGUUGCCUGACUUUGGUGACUCCAGCAAGCAUCCUUCUGAGAGGCUGCUGACAGAUCUCAGGGAUCCUGGAGUGAUAGAUGCCGAAUGCAAUUGAGGAUCUCCAAGGACCUGCAUAGCACAAUGAGGGGCCCAGGGCUCCUGGUCACGGCUAAAAGCUCUGUCACCAGGGUGAGCAGAGCCCAGACCAGGCACUCCCCAUCCUGGGCAGCCCGCCUGGCUUCCAAGUGGAGAAGCAGCGUCCUCUGUGGUCAUAGGUUCUGCCACUGCUCCACAAGAGGGAACUGGUCGACCUCGCCCACCUCCAUGCUCAGCUGUUCCCUGAGGGUGAACAUCAGCCUGUAGCGAAGUCGCACCUUCUCCUUGAGAGGAUUGGCCAGCAGCAUGACCUGGGUGAUGGCUGCAGGGGGCUGGAUGGGACUGAAGGGGGAGAGCUCGGUUCCAGAGGGCAACUACAAUUCACUUUCAUCGACUUGGGCACUGCAGCCUGCAGGACAAUGCUCUUGACUGGCAGGGGAGCUGUGUUCAGCAUGGACACCACCAGCAGCAGCACGUCAGGCCAUCUUGGAGGCAUUCCUUGGCAAAGUGGAAGAGGAUGCGGAAGCCAUUUUUAUCAUAGGCUGUCACGGGAAGGGCACUGCUAGGCUUGAUGGAUUCCAGGGGCACAUGGACGCUGGCCAGGGAGAGCUCGGGCACUUUCACAGGGCUGCCUGGCCCCAUGGAGAAAGGAGGAGUGGCCUGACUGGAGUGCUGGUGGAGAUCAGAGCCGGGGCAGCAGCCUUGGAGGGAAAGCAGGAACUGGGUUUCACCAGGACACUGAACUCUGUAAUUGACACACAAUUAUUCUUAGGUGUUUAAAUUUAACUGAAAAGUGAUCUCUGUUAAAUAUAAGAGUGGGAAUAAGAGAGGGAGGAGAUAUACAAUUUGGGACAAGCUCAAGCUGACUUGCUCCAAAUGGUAGAGUUAGAAACAUGCCUGGGGAUUCCAAUUCAAUCCCAUCAAGGUGGCAUGUACCAAUGACAUCUCACUAGUCCCAGUGAUCAAUUUCAGUUCACAGUUGAUCAUAAUGAUAGGUCUAAGAGUCAAAGGGAUCACAUAAACAAGAAUAGUUCUGCUAAUACUAACUGAUAGAAUUAAAAAGGGAGAAAAUGAUCCAACAUGGGAAGUGGGAUACACAGCAGACUCACAGAAGGGUAGAAGGGCAGAUGUCCUAAACAGCACUCUGGCCUCGGCCUCAGAAUCAGCCCUUAAGGCAUUCGGAUCUGGCUGAAAAGUCCAUGAGAGUAUUUUAGGCAUGGAAAGCCAAGACACUCUGGGGGGGGGGGGGGGAACCAACCCUAAAUGA
ensembl:lncRNA